UNCUUCAGCCAGUACUCUCUGGGUUUUGCC
rnacentral:piRNA from 1 species